GGCGAAUCGCAGAUUCGAAAUGCCUCGAAUCAAUCACCGCUCACGACGAUGCCGUGAACGCCGUCGCAUCAGGAUUGGAAAGCCUCGUGUUCACCGGAUCCGCGGACGGAACAGUGAAGGUCUGGCGGAGAGAGUUGCAGGGGAAAGGAACGAAGCAUUUUCUGGUUCAGGUGUUGCUGAAGCAAGAAAAUGCCAUAACGGCGUUGUCUGUGAACCGGUCAUCGGCGAUUUUG
rnacentral:misc_RNA from 1 species